rnacentral:rRNA from 1 species
UGGGGAAUUUUGGACAAUGGGCGAAAGCCUGAUCCAGCAAUGCCGCGUGUGUGAAGAAGGCCUUCGGGUUGUAAAGCACUUUUGUCCGGAAAGAAAUGGCUCUGGUUAAUACCUGGGGUCGAUGACGGUACCGGAAGAAUAAGGACCGGCUAACUACGUGCCAGCAGCCGCGGUAAUACGUAGGGUCCAAGCGUUAAUCGGAAUUACUGGGCGUAAAGCGUGCGCAGGCGGUUGUGCAAGACCGAUGUGAAAUCCCCGAGCUUAACUUGGGAAUUGCAUUGGUGACUGCACGGCUAGAGUGUGUCAGAGGGGGGUAGAAUUCCACGUGUAGCAGUGAAAUGCGUAGAGAUGUGGAGGAAUACCGAUGGGCGAAGGCAGCCCCCUGGGAUAACACUGACGCUCAUGCACGAAAGCGUGGGGAGCAAACAGGAUUAGAUACCCUGGUAGUCCACGCCCUAAACGAUGUCAACUAGUUGUUGGGAUUC